rnacentral:rRNA from 1 species
CUGCGGCAGCGACGCUGAUGCGUUGUUGGGUAGGGGAGCGUUCUGUAAGCCUGCGAAGGUGGCCUGUGAGGGUUGCUGGAGGUAUCAGAAGUGCGAAUGCUGACAUAAGUAACGAUAAAGCGGGUGAAAAGCCCGCUCGCCGGAAGACCAAGGGUUCCUGUCCAACGUUAAUCGGGGCAGGGUGAGUCGACCCCUAAGGCGAGGCCGAAAGGCGUAGUCGAUGGGAAACGGGUUAAUAUUCCCGUACUUGGUGUUACUGCGAAGGGGGGACGGAGAAGGCUAUGUUGGCCGGGCGACGGUUGUCCCGGUUUAAGCGUGUAGGCUGGUUUUCCAGGCAAAUCCGGAAAAUCAAGGCUGAGGCGUGAUGACGAGGCACUACGGUGCUGAAGCAACAAAUGCCCUGCUUCCAGGAAAAGCCUCUAAGCAUCAGGUAACAUCAAAUCGUACCCCAAACCGACACAGGUGGUCAGGUAGAGAAUACCAAGGCGCUUGAGAGAACUCGGGUGAAGGAACUAGGCAAAAUGGUGCCGUAACUUCGGGAGAAGGCACGCUGACACGUAGGUGAAGUGAUUUACUCAUGGAGCUGAAGUCAGUCGAAGAUACCAGCUGGCUGCAACUGUUUAUUAAAAACACAGCACUGUGCAAACACGAAAGUGGACGUAUACGGUGUGACGCCUGCCCGGUGCCGGAAGGUUAAUUGAUGGGGUCAGCGCAAGCGAAGCUCCUGAUCGAAGCCCCGGUAAACGGCGGCCGUAACUAUAACGGUCCUAAGGUAGCGAAAUUCCUUGUCGGGUAAGUUCCGACCUGCACGAAUGGCGUAAUGAUGGCCAGGCUGUCUCCACCCGAGACUCAGUGAAAUUGAACUCGCUGUGAAGAUGCAGUGUACCCGCGGCAAGACGGAAAGACCCCGUGAACCUUUACUAUAGCUUGACACUGAACAUUGAGCCUUGAUGUGUAGGAUAGGUGGGAGGCUUUGAAGUGUGGACGCCAGUCUGCAUGGAGCCGACCUUGAAAUACCACCCUUUAAUGUUUGAUGUUCUAACGUGGACCCGUUACCCGGGUUGCGGACAGUGUCUGGUGGGUAGUUUGACUGGGGCGGUCUCCUCCUAAAGAGUAACGGAGGAGCACGAAGGUUGGCUAAUCCUGGUCGGACAUCAGGAGGUUAGUGCAAUGGCAUAAGCCAGCUUGACUGCGAGCGUGACGGCGCGAGCAGGUGCGAAAGCAGGUCAUAGUGAUCCGGUGGUUCUGAAUGGAAGGGCCAUCGCU